rnacentral:hammerhead_ribozyme from 1 species
AUCUAGCUGACGAGUCCCAAACAGGAUGAAAAACGCGUCCUGCAU